rnacentral:snRNA from 1 species
UUAAAUUAAAAAUGCACAUAUACUAAAAUUGGAAUGAUACAGAGAUUAGCAUGGCCCCUGUUCAAGGAUGACAAGCAAAUUUGUGAAGCGUUCCAUAUUUUU